AGAUUAAGUUAUUAAGGGCGCACGGUGGAUGCCUUGGCACUAGAAGCUGACGAAGGACGUUACUAACGACGAUAUGCUUUGGGUAGCUGUAAGUAAGCGUUGAUCCAGAGAUUUCCGAAUGGGGGAACCCAGCACGAGUUAUGUCGUGUUAUCGACAAGUGAAUUCAUAGCUUGUCAGAAGGCAGACCCGGAGAACUGAAACAUCUUAGUACCCGGAGGAAGAGAAAGAAAAAUCGAUUCCCUGAGUAGCGGCGAGCGAAACGGGAAGAGCCCAAACCAAUAAGCUUGCUUAUUGGGGUUGUAGGACACUCUAUACGGAGUUACAAAGGAAUAUAUUAGACGAAUCAUCUGGAAAGUUGAAUCAAAGAAGGUAAUAAUCCUGUAGUUGAAAAUAUAUUCUCUCUUGAGUGGAUCCUGAGUACGACGGAGCACGUGAAAUUCCGUCGGAAUCUGGGAGGACCAUCUCCUAAGGCUAAAUACUCUCUAGUGACCGAUAGUGAACCAGUACCGUGAGGGAAAGGUGAAAAGUACCCCGGAAGGGGAGUGAAAGAGAACUUGAAACCGUGUGCUUACAAGUAGUCAGAGCCCGUUAAUGGGUGAUGGCGUGCCUUUUGUAGAAUGAACCGGCGAGUUACGAUCUGAUGCAAGGUUAAGCAGGAAAUGUGGAGCCGUAGCGAAAGCGAGUCUGAAUAGGGCGUUGAGUAUUUGGUCGUAGACCCGAAACCAGGUGAUCUACCCAUGGUCAGGUUGAAGUUCAGGUAACACUGAAUGGAGGACCGAACCGACUUACGUUGAAAAGUGAGCGGAUGAACUGUGGGUAGCGGAGAAAUUCCAAUCGAACUUGGAGAUAGCUGGUUCUCUCCGAAAUAGCUUUAGGGCUAGCCUCAAGUGAUGAUUAUUGGAGGUAGAGCACUGUUUGGACGAGGGGCCCCUCUCGGGUUACCGAAUUCAGACAAACUCCGAAUGCCAAUUAAUUUAACUUGGGAGUCAGAACAUGGGUGAUAAGGUCCGUGUUCGAAAGGGAAACAGCCCAGACCACCAGCUAAGGUCCCAAAAUAUAUGUUAAGUGGAAAAGGAUGUGGCGUUGCCCAGACAACUAGGAUGUUGGCUUAGAAGCAGCCAUCAUUUAAAGAGUGCGUAAUAGCUCACUAGUCGAGUGACACUGCGCCGAAAAUGUACCGGGGCUAAACAUAUUACCGAAGCUGUGGAUUGUCCGUAGGACAAUGGUAGGAGAGCGUUCUAAGGGCGUUGAAGCAUGAUCGCAAGGACAUGUGGAGCGCUUAGAAGUGAGAAUGCCGGUGUGAGUAGCGAAAGACGGGUGAGAAUCCCGUCCACCGAUUGACUAAGGUUUCCAGAGGAAGGCUCGUCCGCUCUGGGUUAGUCGGGUCCUAAGCUGAGGCCGACAGGCGUAGGCGAUGGAUAACAGGUUGAUAUUCCUGUACCACCUAGCAUCGUUUUAAUCGAUGGGGGGACGCAGUAGGAUAGGCGAAGCGUACGAUUGGAUUGUACGUCCAAGCAGUGAGAUUGAGUGUUAGGCAAAUCCGGCACUCUUAAGAUUGAGCUGUGAUGGGGAGAGGAAAUUGUUUCCUCGAGUCGUUGAUUUCACACUGCCGAGAAAAGCCUCUAGAUAGAUAAUAGGUGCCCGUACCGCAAACCGACACAGGUAGUCAAGAUGAGAAUUCUAAGGUGAGCGAGCGAACUCUCGUUAAGGAACUCGGCAAAAUGACCCCGUAACUUCGGGAGAAGGGGUGCUCUUUAGGGUGCAAGCCCAGAAGAGCCGCAGUGAAUAGGCCCAAGCGACUGUUUAUCAAAAACACAGGUCUCUGCUAAACCGUAAGGUGAUGUAUAGGGGCUGACGCCUGCCCGGUGCUGGAAGGUUAAGAGGAGUAGUUAGCUUCUGCGAAGCUACGAAUCGAAGCCCCAGUAAACGGCGGCCGUAACUAUAACGGUCCUAAGGUAGCGAAAUUCCUUGUCGGGUAAGUUCCGACCCGCACGAAAGGCGUAACGAUUUGGGCACUGUCUCAACGAGAGACUCGGUGAAAUCAUAGUACCUGUGAAGAUGCAGGUUACCCACGACAGGACGGAAAGACCCCGUGGAGCUUUACUGUAGCCUGAUAUUGAAAUUCGGCACAGCUUGUACAGGAUAGGUAGGAGCCUUUGAAACGUGAGCGCUAGCUUACGUGGAGGCGCUGGUGGGAUACUACCCUAGCUGUGUUGGCUUUCUAACCCGCACCACUUAUCGUGGUGGGAGACAGUGUCAGGCGGGCAGUUUGACUGGGGCGGUCGCCUCCUAAAAGGUAACGGAGGCGCUCAAAGGUUCCCUCAGAAUGGUUGGAAAUCAUUCAUAGAGUGUAAAGGCAUAAGGGAGCUUGACUGCGAGACCUACAAGUCGAGCAGGGUCGAAAGACGGACUUAGUGAUCCGGUGGUUCCGCAUGGAAGGGCCAUCGCUCAACGGAUAAAAGCUACCCCGGGGAUAACAGGCUUAUCUCCCCCAAGAGUUCACAUCGACGGGGAGGUUUGGCACCUCGAUGUCGGCUCAUCGCAUCCUGGGGCUGUAGUCGGUCCCAAGGGUUGGGCUGUUCGCCCAUUAAAGCGGUACGCGAGCUGGGUUCAGAACGUCGUGAGACAGUUCGGUCCCUAUCCGUCGUGGGCGUAGGAAAUUUGAGAGGAGCUGUCCUUAGUACGAGAGGACCGGGAUGGACAUACCUCUGGUGUACCAGUUGUCGUGCCAACGGCAUAGCUGGGUAGCUAUGUAUGGACGGGAUAAGUGCUGAAAGCAUCUAAGCAUGAAGCCCCCCUCAAGAUGAGAUUUCCCAACUUCGGUUAUAAGAUCCCUCAAAGAUGAUGAGGUUAAUAGGUUCGAGGUGGAAGCGUGGUGACACGUGGAGCUGACGAAUACUAAUCGAUCGAAGACUUAAUCAAUUU
rnacentral:rRNA from 1 species